rnacentral:rRNA from 1 species
GUGGGGAAUUUUGGACAAUGGGCGCAAGCCUGAUCCAGCAAUGCCGCGUGCAGGAAGAAGGCCUUCGGGUUGUAAACUGCUUUUGUACGGAACGAAACGGUCCUGGUUAAUACCUGGGGCUAAUGACGGUACCGUAAGAAUAAGCACCGGCUAACUACGUGCCAGCAGCCGCGGUAAUACGUAGGGUGCGAGCGUUAAUCGGAAUUACUGGGCGUAAAGCGUGCGCAGGCGGUGCUGUAAGACAGGCGUGAAAUCCCCGGGCUCAACCUGGGAAUUGCGCUUGUGACUGCAGUGCUGGAGUACGGCAGAGGGGGAUGGAAUUCCGCGUGUAGCAGUGAAAUGCGUAGAUAUGCGGAGGAACACCGAUGGCGAAGGCAAUCCCCUGGACCUGUACUGACGCUCAUGCACGAAAGCGUGGGGAGCAAACAGGAUUAGAUACCCCUGUAGUCC